CAGGUAACACACGGACAUCAUUGAUGGAAUCAAAUACCUGUAGGUCUGAACGGCUUAUAUGGAAAAGUGGCUUGUCUUAGGGUGAAAGCCGCUGAGGGAGCACCGACGGGCAGGUUACAGGAUGAUUCUGUGCGCAGCUGGCGCUCUGGGAUCGGGGGAGGACACGCCGUGCAGCUUACCCCUCCCCGGCAAGGGCUGAAGGAGUUGGAAUAUUCACCUUCUGUCCCCAUCCGUGGUUGGUCGGAGGGUCACUGGGAACAUGGCACCUUCAGCACUUCCGCCGGCCCAGGCUGAGCCCAGCUGGAGAGAACCCACAGGGGGAAGAGGCCCCGCGCCUUCCAGCAGGUGCAGAUGUCCGGACCGAGGCUGGAGUCCUAAAUCUCAAGGUGGAGUUUUAGUCUUUGUUUUCAGCCUCUCUGCCUCGUGUCCCCAAG
rnacentral:lncRNA from 1 species